CAGUAGCCGCGGGAAUACGUAGGUGGCAAGCGUUGUCCGGAAUUAUUGGGCGUAAAGGGCUCGCAGGCGGUUUCUUAAGUCUGGUGUGAAAUCCCCGGGCUCAACCUGGGAAUGGCAGUGGAUACUGGCUCGCUAGAGUGUGUCAGAGGAUGGUGGAAUUCCCGGUGUAGCGGUGAAAUGCGUAGAGAUCGGGAGGAACAUCAGUGGCGAAGGCGGCCAUCUGGGACAACACUGACGCUGAGGCACGAAAGCGUGGGGAGCAAACAGGAUUAGAUACCCCUGUAGUCCCUGUCUCUUAUAC
rnacentral:rRNA from 1 species